rnacentral:rRNA from 1 species
GACGAACGCUGGCGGCGUGCUUAACACAUGCAAGUCGAACGGAAAGGCCCCUUUCGGGGUACUCGAGUGGCGAACGGGGGAGUAACACGUGCGUAACCUGCCCUUGACUUCGGGAUAACUUCAGGAAACUGGGGCUAAUACCGGUAAGGAAUCCUUGCUGCAUGGUGGGGGUUGGAAAGCUUCGGCGGGUUUGGAUGGACUCGCGGCUUAUCAGCUUGCUGGUGGGGCAGUGGCUUACCAAGGCGUUGACGGGUAGCCGGCCUGUGAGGGCGACCGGCCACACUGGGUCCUACAGACGGCCCAGACUCCGACGGGUGGCAGCAGUGGGGAAUAUUGCACAAUGGGCGGAAGCCUGAUGCAGCAACGCCGCGUGCGGGAUGACGGCCUUCGGGUGGUAAACCGCUUUCAGCAGGGGCGAAGCUUGUGGUGACGGUACCUGCAGAAGAAGCACCGGCUAACUACGUG